rnacentral:rRNA from 1 species
UACGGAGGGUGCAAGCGUUACCCGGAAUCACUGGGCGUAAAGGGCGCGUAGGCGGCUGUACAAGUCGGGGGUGAAAUCCUGGGGCUCAACCCUAGAAUUGCCUUCGAUACUGUUCGGCUUGAGUCUGGUAGAGGUUGGUGGAACUGCUAGUGUAGAGGUGAAAUUCGUAGAUAUUCGCAAGAACACCGGUGGCGAAGGCGGCCAACUGGACCAGUACUGACGCUGAGGCGCGAAAGCGUGGGGAUCAAACAGG